UUUUUUUUUCCUUUUUCC
rnacentral:sRNA from 1 species